rnacentral:rRNA from 1 species
GUAGGUGGCAAGCGUUGUCCGGAAUUAUUGGGCGUAAAGCGCGCGCAGGCGGUUCUCUAAGUCUGAUGUGAAAGCCCACGGCUCAACCGUGGAGGGUCAUUGGAAACUGGAGAACUUGAGUACAGAAGAGGAAAGCGGAAUUCCACGUGUAGCGGUGAAAUGCGUAGAGAUGUGGAGGAACACCAGUGGCGAAGGCGGCUUUCUGGUCUGUAACUGACGCUGAGGCGCGAAAGCGUGGGGAGCAAACAGGAUUAGAUACCCUGGUAGUCCACGCCGCAAACGAUGAGUGCUAAGUGUUAGGGGGUUUCCGCCCCUUAGUGCUGCAGCUAACGCAUUAAGCACUCCGCCUGGGAGUACGGCCGCAAGGCUG